GAUGAACGCUGGCGGCGUGCCUAAUACAUGCAAGUCGAGCGAACGGUCGAGAAGCUUGCUUCUCUGAUGUUAGCGGCGGACGGGUGAGUAACACGUGGACAACCUACCUAUAAGACUGGGAUAACUUCGGGAAACCGUAGCUAAUACCGGAUACUAUUUUGAACCGCAUGGUUCAAAAGUGAAUGACGGUCUUGCUGUCACUUAUAGAUGGAUCCGCGCUGCAUUAGCUAGUUGGUACGGUAACGGCUUACCAAGGCAACGAUGCAUAGCCGACCUGAGAGGGUGAUCGGCCACACUGGAACUGGGACACGGUCCAGACUCCUACGGGAGGCAGCAGUAGGGAAUCUUCCGCGAUGGGCGAAAGCCUGAAGGAGCAACGCCGCGUUAGUGAUGAAGGUCUUCGGAUCGUAAAACUCUGUUAUUAUGGAAGAACAUAUGUGUAAGUAACUGUGCUCAUCUUGACGGUACCUAAUCAGAAAGCCACGGCUAACUACGUG
rnacentral:rRNA from 1 species